CAUCUUAUUAAGAAAAAAUGUGCAUUAGCAGAGAAAUGCUACCCAUUUAACAUGCCUUUAAGUUAACUUCCAUUUGGAAGUUGGAACCAAAGUGUCCAAGGUCUUCACAGUCAGAUUUUAUGCAAACGCUUUCCUAUAUUGCUGCCAUUAACAAAGAAAUUGUGCCAUUUCGUAAAACUCCUGUCAUCGGUAGAAUAUUGUUGUUUAAACUAUUUGAGUAUUUUAACAAUGGAGACUAUGAUGCUCAUCUUAACUUAAACGUCAGUUUUACAUGUGUCUGAUGCAUCAUAAACUAUUUCUACUUAUAGAAAAGUCAUGAUAUCUCAAAACAAGAUUUUAAUCAUUCUUAGCUUGUUUUCUAGAAAGGUUGUAUGGGCUACAGGUGUGAACUGAAUUUUCCCGACAUUGUACACUCAAUAAUAGGAGGAGAAAUCAUACCAAAUCUCAUUCUUCGCUUGUUUUCUAGAAAGGUUGUAUGGGCUACAGGUGUCAACUGAAUUUUCCCAUCAUUGUGCACUCAAUAAUAGGGGGAGAAAUCAUACCAAAUCUUGUGGCUCCAUACCAAGUGGAGUAGCACAAACAUGUCUCGGAAAGAACACGCUUGUCUUAUGCUCGAUGCACCAGCAUCACUUGAUUUCCCAUCAUAACACCUCUUGAAAACCACACCAUCCAAUCCAAAACCAAAACCCAAGUUUCAUAUACUAACAGCUAGCUUCCCCACUGAAAUAGGCAUCACGACAGACCACUGGAACUAUUUUCUCUAAAUUUCCAAAGCGAUAACACAGAUGAGAAGCAAAUUGUUACAAUUUUUGCAGGGGCUUAUUCAUAGGCUCCAAGCCAAGCCAAUCCAUUUACUUUGGUUCAGCUAUUGGUAUAAAUUAAUAAACCUAAAUUAUGAACAUUCAUCCAAGUAACCGAUAGUUUCUUAGCAUAACUUCAAAAGAUCUGCCAAAUAUAAAUCCUGUGAGCAAAAAGUACAACACGAUUCCUGUAAAUGAUUAAUUUCACACUGUAAAAAAAAAUAAAAAAUAAAAAAUAAGUGUUACAGAAAUAAUUUGAAACAGAAAAAUGAGGGGAAAAAAAUAAUAAAGACUUAAAACCCCAAAGCCACAAAGUGUAUCCUGGUGUCUUAGAAACCAGUGGGUGGGCACAGGUUGG
rnacentral:lncRNA from 1 species